CUUUGUUUAGCUUAUAUUUAGAGCAUUUAUUUGAAGCGUAAAAGGGACUUUAGAGUAACGAAGA
rnacentral:tRNA from 1 species